rnacentral:rRNA from 1 species
GACGAACGCUGGCGGCGUGCUUAACACAUGCAAGUCGAACGGUAAGGCCCUUCGGGGUACACGAGUGGCGAACGGGUGAGUAACACGUGGGUGAUCUGCCCUGCACUUCGGGAUAAGCCUGGGAAACUGGGUCUAAUACCGGAUAGGACCACUGCCUGCAUGGGUGGUGGUGGAAAGCUUUUGCGGGGUGGGAUGGGCCCGCGGCCUAGCAGCUUGUUGGUGGGGUGAUGGCCUACCAAGGCGACGACGGGUAGCCGGCCUGAGAGGGUGACCGGCCAAAGUGGGACUGAGAUACGGCCCAGACUACUACGGGAGGCAGCAGUGGGGAAUAUCGCACAAUGGGCGCAAGCCUGAUGCAGCGACGCCGCGUGAGGGAUGACGGCCUUCGGGUUGUAAACCUCUUUCAGCACCGACGAAGCGCAAGUGACGGUAGGUGCAGAAGAAGGACCGGCCAACUACGUGCCAGCCGCCGCGGUAA